rnacentral:rRNA from 1 species
GGGGAAUAUUGGACAAUGGGCGAAAGCCUGAUCCAGCCAUGCCGCGUGUGUGAAGAAGGUCUUCGGAUUGUAAAGCACUUUAAGUUGGGAGGAAGGGCAGUAAGUUAAUACCUUGCUGUUUUGACGUUACCAACAGAAUAAGCACCGGCUAACUUCGUGCCAGCAGCCGCGGUAAUACGAAGGGUGCAAGCGUUAAUCGGAAUUACUGGGCGUAAAGCGCGCGUAGGUGGUUCAGCAAGUUGGAUGUGAAAUCCCCGGGCUCAACCUGGGAAACGGCAUCCAAACUUACGGAGUUAGAGUACGGUGGAGGGUGGUGGAUUUUCCGGGGUGGGGGGGAAUUGGGAAGAAAUGGGAAGAAACACAGGGGGGGAAGGCGACCACCGGGAUGAAUCCUGCCACUAGGUGGGAAAGGCGUGGGAGCAAACA